AUCCAUCUUACAAUUUGAAUGCAGAAAGCACGAGUACAAGAAGUGGUACCAAAACUCAAGUUUUUAGCGAAGUGCUAAAAAUGAAGGAGAUGAGCGUUGUGAAUUCAAAAAGCUUACAUCGGCUACCAACUCUGUGACAAGGUUACCUAGCAUUGGAAUUAUGCACUGAACUUAUGCAUCUAUAUGAGAGAGGGUAGAAAUCUUAAGUUACUCUGAUACUUGUCUCAAAAGAAACAUGCCUACUAUAAUAUUUUGCAUUCAAAGUCAUUAAGGUCCCAAGAAGGAAAGUUUUGCAACUAUGCAUACGAUAUUUUGACAUAAUCCUAAUAUUUCUAUAUUUUUGUUAGUUAGACCUUCUCAUUGUUCUUCGUCGACGUACCAGCACACCUUAUAGUCAUCCAUCACCAAAAAUCUCCCAAAUGCUAAUUUUACAUUUUUACCAGAAUUAGGUAACUGAAAAGGUAUCCAAGACAUUACACAUACUAGAAAAAAAUCAAGGCAUCACAGUUUUCAAGUCAUGGCCUUAUUAGUAGAGUCGAUCAGCAUAUAGUUGGAUCCUGGAUUAUUGCCAUGUUGAAAUACGAGGAUGAAGGCAUGAAGCUGAUCGUAGCCAUGAGUCACGACACACAUAUAACUGAGGCCUAAAGGGGCAUAAAUUUUGCUUGACUGAUUGAGUUAGGUUCCAAACACCGGUGCAUCAGCUAUGAAGUUUCUUAGUUUAAUCUUCAGGUUCCAAUCAAAAGUUAAGGUUGACAGUUGAAACCCACAAGCCGUCCAAGUGAACCCAAAAAAGAAAACUACUCAAUCCAAAUACUCAUGGUCUCAAUGCAAAAUCAGAAUACGUUUUCGAACAAUAGAAGCACCAAAUGAAAUUGAUCUACGCAUCUGAUAACUAAAAAUCAUAUCUGUGGGUAAAUCGAUUAUAAUUCUUCUGGAAGUAUGGAACCAGUCGAAGUGCGUGAUACUUACAAGGGUAGGUUAGGCAUGCGUACCCAAAGGGUUUACGCCACUGAUGGUGCAAGAUUGGAUUAGUGCUGCAGCCUCUCCAUCUGCCACCCUAAUCACCGGCACGGAGCCAGCGAUGCAGCAAGGUGCAGAGUGGAGAGUUUUUUUUGGGAGAUUUGCUCAUGCCCUCAUGGGAUGGUACCAGAUACCAGCUGCUAUUGCGCCGUAGGAGAUGGCUGGGGAUGGUGUUGUAACUGCUGUUCACUGCUGCGCGUCUCGACGGCGAGACGGCAACGGCAGCAGCUCGGCUACUCAUUCGUCAGGCGUUGCGGCCUAGAGCGGAUCUCCAUGGACCGAGCCCAUCUAGUGGUGAGGGUCCAUCAUGAAAAGUUGGACCGUGCCAGGUCCAUGUAGGCACGCCGUCGCCUCCGAUGACCCAAUGCAAUUUGUCAGCGUUUCCAAAAAAAAUACAAUUUGUGUACUUUAAAGAAAGAAUACAACUUAUCAGAGAAAUUCCACAUGUAUAUGAUCUGUGGUCUAUGCAGAUCCCAACAAACAUCAGUAUUUGGGAAGGUGACAGGGGUUUUGUUUUCAGGAAGCUGGUGUUGGAGGUAUGCCCUAGAGGCAAUCAUAGAGAUGAUGACAUUCCAUUUGUAUCCAUGAUUUGUAUGUUGAAUAUCCAUUGAAGGCUACUUGAAUUGAUUUGCAAUUAUGUGAAUUGUAUGUGAAACUCUUUACUUGUAUGGUUAUUCUAAAGUUGUCCCUAGUCGGAGUUCAUGUGAGGACACACAUGAAUAUUAGACUAGCACAUGUAUUAGUUGAUGACUAUGUUUCACAAGUCAUGGACAUGGAGAUGUUGAACUAAUAAUGUGGACACAUGUGGAGACAUGUGCUAGGACUGACCCAACACGAGAAGUAGUUCUCUCUUUAAACAACAUAUACGCUUUGUCCUUAGACCUGAGAUUGUCGCAUGUAUUCUAGAUGUGGAUCGACCUACUUAGGGGCUAUCAAACGCUACGCCGUAACAGGGUAGUUAUAAAGGUAGUUUUCGGGUUUGUCAAGAAGCAUGCUAUGAGACAUGGUCAAUCAAGAUGGGAUUUGCCCCUCUCUGAUUGAGAGUGAUAUCUCUGGGCCCCUCGAGUGAUCGGAUCCGAAAAUGCAUGGCCAUGCUACGUACGGUUAAGAGUUAACCUACAAAGGGAUUCCGAAUCACAGGAUCGAGAAAGAGCGGUCGGCUUGAAGCUAGACCAAAUAUCGUGAGGCAAAGGGAAUAGCAUGUAUAUUAUGUUGUGAUGGUUCGUCUGAUAUGAUCUUCGUGUGCGUAUAGGAGUUGGCACGUCUUGCUAGAGGCCGCUACCGACUAUUGGGCCGAGUAGGAGUACUCGGGCCAUGUCUAUACGUAUCCGAACCCAUAGGGUCACACACUUAAGGGGCUGGAAGCCCAAUUCGGAUCUGAUCCGAGUUGGAUUAGGUUUAGAAGUACUAAUGGGCCUCGGAUCCAGAGGUCCGUCAGGAACCUCUAUAAAUAGAGGGGUGGGGGCGCCCUAGGGUUUACACCUUUUUGGCGAAAACACACCUGCCGCGCCUCCCACGCCCUCGCCUGUUGCAACUCGCGGAUCUAGCAGUCCGGCUUGCGACGCUUCCUCCCUGCACGUGUGGAUACCUUGGAGGUGUUGCGCCUGCAGCACUUGGACGAGCCGCCGACGAGCCACCGACGAGCCACGACGAGCCGACGACGAGCCGCGGCACCGGAGGCGAUCUUGCUGCACGUGGACGAGCUGCUGAGGAGCUGCUGGACGUGAUCGACUACGUACGACUACGUUGAUCGACUACGUACGACUACGUAAUCGUCUUCACUGCAUCGACGCAUAUCUACAUCUUCCGCACCAGUAGUGCGUCGAGUGGUAAUCCCGUGAUCCUUAUACGGCAGUUCUUCCUGGUUAUACGCGGUAGAAUUUUGAAUUGCGCUAGUGUAGCCUACCUCGUAUCCCUACAGCUGGAUGCAUAACCUGGACGUUUUAGGUUGUGUUGUGUGGUGAAUACAGUGCUAGUCGUCUCCUCUGAUGCUCUCUUGAAAUGGCCGAGUGGCCGACGAUGUUUGUACCGGUCUGGAGUCCUUUCAAUAUCUAACUGUUGCCAGCUGUAUGUAGUUAACUUUCAAGGCUAAUCCCAGUGGGAGUUUCAUAGAUGUUUCAUGCACAUUAAAUACGGUGACACAUCAGCAUAUGUGAUGACAUGGCAUGGUAGUUAUGAAGUGAGAGAGGGAAGGGGUUUCAUCAGGAUGAAACUGUGUAUACACUGUUUCCAAGACUAUGAAACCUAUUGGAACUUGCAUUGGGGGCUAUAGAGUUUCAUUUCAUCUAACCAUAUCCAAUCACAUGCCUCACAAUUAAAUGUCAUGGGCAUCCUAUGAAAUUGUGAAAUGAAACUGUGCACUGGAACUCCCUGUUUCAUUCAUGAGAAUACACCUCAUGGGAUGAUGUGGCAUCCUUAGAAACAGUGCAAUGAAACCUUGCACUGGGACUAGCCUUAGUGUUUGGCAUAAAUGAGUGAAGCUUGCUUGGCCGACAAGAGCAUGUAUUACCCGGAGCUGAUCAAGCUCAGGGCGGGCAUCCAGUCACGGCAAUGUCUCAUGACAGUCGUCGCUUUGCCCGUCCCAUACGGGCACAUCGGACGUUUCCGUGCGCGCAUGACGAUGGUCCCAACGUGUCCACUCAAAGCUUUCUGCCGCUACAGUCUACACAGGGCGCGCGGACUCACCAGCUUCACCAUUUAGUCUGGCGCUUGUGCCUAUCUAUCUUGGUCUUAGAACUGAUUCACCACUCUGUUCGUCCUGCUACUGCCAUCAUCGAAACCUUCCCGCGCCAUACGCUCCCAUGGCUCCGUCGUCCUUGCUGCUCUUCCUCAUCUCGUCGGUGCCAGGUGAUGCUUGCGGCAGCAGCAGCAUACGUGCAAAGGAGGAAAGGACCGCGCGCCUGUGGUAUGCGGCAACCUCAGCAUCUCCUACCCGUUUGGCGUUUGGCGUUUGGGUUACUCUCGGAGGAAGCAACGGAGUAACUGCGCAGCGCAGUGCUCGGAUUCCAAGUCGUUUGCUCAGGCAACACCCUUUACCUCGGGUUAGGUUUUAAGGUAUCGUUGUAGAUUCUCAACAUCUUCUACGGCAUGGGCUCCUUACUCGUUGCCGAUGUCUACAAGCUCCACGACUUCAAUAGCUCCGCGCCCAACUGCUGCCAUGCCCCAGGUGUCAACGUCUCCACCAAGCCCAUUCUCAAUCAGCCCCGUCAAUCAGAACCUCAUAUUUUACAACUGCACCAAGCCAGCGGCAGAGGAGGUGAGGCAGAAACGCGGCCUUGUGGGGACGGCAUGCCGCAACAACACGUUUGUUCGCGCCGGAGGUAGUUACGACGACGAGGGGUCGGGCAGCUACAGCAAUUACUUUCUGGAGGGCUGCAACGCUACCGUCGUGCCGGUGCUUGGGAAUUCUGGCGAGGCGAACGCGAGCAGAUCCGAGAAGCUCAUCAGCGGCGGCUUUCUCUUGACAUGGUACGGUCGUCGUCGCCAGGUAAAUUUCACUAAGAUUAAUUUAAGACCAUCCUACAGGGAGAACGAUGAGCGCACGCGCGAGCAGCGGCAUGAAGGUCCAUGUGGGCGGCGGUGGCAAGCUCUGCACCGCGCCGGCGAGGCCGUGUGUUCGUCGACGGCGGCGACCGCGCGAGUAUGGUGGUGGCGAGAUCUAGCUAGGUGUGCUUUGCGCACGAGUGCACUUUGGCGGCGUUGGCAGCAAACUCGGGGUGGCCAUGCACGAGCUCGAGGGGCGCUGCCGCGACGGCGGGCUCAAGGGACGGGGCCACGGCCAGCUCAAGGUGGCAGCCACCACAAGCUCCGCCUGUAACACAGAUCGAAGGAAAAGUUGAAUUGCUGGAGUCCAAAUCGAAAUUCUAUGGUCCAGAUCGAAGCACAGGAGGAAAAUGAGAGCUUUCAUCAGCAAGGUGCAGGCUUGCCAAUGGAAUAGAAAAUAGAAAAGGAGGCGCGUUUCAAGGCACGGCGAGGCCUGCAGGUGGGCAGCCAGACGUGGACGGCGGCGGCCAUAGGCGGCUGGAGGCGACACGCACGGCGGGAGCCGGGGAGCACGCGCGGGCAGCCAAACGCCGGCGGCCACAGCAACGGGGCGCGCGGCAGGCCAUGCGGGCGGCCGCCACCACGGGCCUGGCGUGGUUGCUCUCAAGCGGCGACUCGCGGACAGCGCAUGGCGGGGCACCAUGGCUACAUAGCGUAGGCGACGGCGACCUCCAUGGUGUGGGGAGCCAUCGAGACGACUUUUUUGUAUUUUUAGAUUUUUUUGAAAGAUUCUCACAAAUACGUCGAACCAAUUUUAAAAAUGGAUCCUUAGCUUGGCACCAUCCACGCUGGCGCCAAGCUACAACGUCUCGGUGCCAGCCACCCUAGCGCCAAGAUCCAUGCGCAGCUGCUGACGCGGAUGUCGAUGGCGCCAAGCUUGACGCCGUAGAUCAUGGCGCCGAGCUAUUUACCCCGUACUUCUUCGCAUUUCGAACUAAACAAGUACAAUUAUUCCGAGGAGUGUGCAAUAAACUAAACUGUGGUUCAACCGGUUAGGAGGUGGGCUUCUUAUCUUGGAGACUUGAGUUCAAACCCCUGUGUUGAACCUUUUUUUCUACAUGACCUUGGCGUCAGGAUGGCUGGCGCCGAGACGUUGUAGCUUGACGCCAGCUAAGGGUCUAUUUUUAAAAUUAGUUUCGUCGUGAGCCUAUUUGUGAGAAUCUUUCGUAAAAAGGGUUUAAAAAAAGUCAGCCAUCGAGAUGGAGCUGCAGGAUGGGUCUCACGAGUCACGAGGGUGGAAACGAGGCCAUGCCCGCAUCGCUAAAAUCGCUGGUUUCAUCAUCUUUGGUGUUACCGAGCCGACAUCGUUUCUCAGGAAGGAAAUCGUUUCCUUCUCUCUUCAAUAAAUGGCUAGCCACAUCAACAAUUCGUCUACGUGACUGUGUAUUUAUUAAUAUGAAAAUUAUUCUCGUCACUGUGGUGGACUGCCUUGAAACGUGAGAGGAGGGUUGCCAUUCGAUUUUCAUUAGAUACAAGCCGGUAGCUGGACGUGCAAAAUCGAAAACUAUAGACCUAGCUUGGUUACUCUUGCUUAUUUUUAUUUUUAGUACCCGUUGUAUCGAAUGUUUAGAUACUAAUUAGGAGUGUUAAACUUAGACUAUUUACAAAACUCAUUAUAUAAGUGGAGGCUAAACGGUGAGAUGAAUCUAUUAAGUCUAAUUAGUUAAUGAUUUGACAAUGUGUUGCUACAGUAAACAUUUGCUAAUGAUGAAUUAAUUAUGUUUAAUAGAUUUGUCUCGCCGUUUAGCCUCCAUCUGUGUAAUGGAUUUUGUAAAUAGUCUACGUGUAAUACUCCUAAUUAGUAUCUAAACAUUUGAUGCGACACGUGUUAAAAAUAAGCAAAGGGAACCAAAAGACUCGUAAUUAUGAGAAAGGUUAGUGACAAUAGGACAACACUGAAUGUCAAUAUUGCUUCUUCUUCCCGUUGGACCUCCGCCUCCCUUGCACACAUCCCCAUUCCUCAAUCCCGUCCAUUUCGCAGCCUCCUAGCUCCUAUACUGAUCGAAUAACAAGCUUGAUGCAUCCGGCCCUGGUCCUCUUCCCGCUGGCCGCCUCCUUGCUCCUCCUCCAAGACCAUGCAAGCGCCGACUGCGAGCCGGCGACAUGCGGGAACCUCACUCUCAGAUACCCAUUCUGGCUGGGCAGCGGCAACCAGACCUCAUCACCCUGCGGCCACCCGUCCUUCGAGGUCUGGUGCAGCGACCGCCGCCGGAGCGUAGCCUCACUGAAGGGCUCCUCCAUGCACAUCCUCUCCAUCGAUUACACCAACUACUACUUCGUCGCCUCCCACACCAGGGUCGCCGCCGCCGACGGCGUGUGCCGCACCGACUUCAACAUGUCGAUCAGCAUCGCGCUCAGCCCGUUCACCAUUAGCCCCCGGAACCGCGCCCUGUGCUUCCUCUACAACUGCACCGGCGGCGCGGCCCCGAUCGGGCCCGACGAGUACGUGAACGCCACCUCCAUCAGCUGCCGUGACCCCAUCUACGCGUACCUCGGCGGGGCCUACUACUGGGACAAGCCGCCGGCGAUCGCGUCGGACGGGUGCACGUACACGUACAUCCCAGUGCUGGGGCGGGAGGCGGAGACCAUGACGGCGGCCAACUACAGCCGGCUCCUGAAGGACGGAUUCGUCCUGGAGUGGGAGGCGGCAGGGAUCGGCGACUGCGCCGCCUGCAACGCGAGGGGCGGGAAGUGCCGGUACGACAAAGCCACCGCGGCGUUCCGGUGCCUCUGCCCCGACGGCAGCCGCGCGGCGGGGUCGACAUGCUCCGGUGAGUAGUCACUCUCCCACUUCCCUCCGUACACGUACAGUAGUCAGCGUGUGUGGACGCCGGCGGGCGACCCGGCGCAUGCCGCUUUCAGCUGCAAGACUUUCUUGGUCCAUUGCAUCAUGCGGAUUGCGGCGUGGCGAAGGCGCAGCGGCGCUGGCGCAUGCAUCGGCGUCGCGGUAGUGCUGCCCAUGGGGUUGGAUCCUCGUAGGCCCCAUGGAGAUUUUGCACGCAGCUCUCGCUCUCAGUAACCUUGGCUAGUUUCCCUCGAUCCACCGGUAGAAUGGCCCGCGGCAGCUGGAGUGAUGGCUAUCUUAAGACUGUGUGGCGCGCGCACUGGCCACGCCGCAAUCCCUGGUAAACGCGUGUGCGGUCAAUGUCGUCUUCCCUGCCGGGGCAGCAGAGCGCUCGCCGCGGCGCGGAGCAACAGGGGAGGGGGCCUGCCGCUGCCGGGCGUCGCUUUCGCCUGCCAUUAGCUUCUCCACGUGCUCUUUCGCGCAUGAUCGUUCCCAUUAAGGGUGUUUGAUACGAGCUGCUAUAGGAGGGUCAUAUCGGAUGUUCGGAUGCUAAUUAGGAGGACUAAACAUGAGCUAAUUAUAAAACUAACUGCAGAACCCCUAUACUAAUUCGCGAGACGAAUCUAUUAAGCCUAAUUAAUCCAUCAUUAGCAACUGGUUACUGUAGCACUACAUUGUCAAAUCAUGGACUAAUUAGACUUAAUAGAUUCAUCUCGCGAAUUAGACUCCAUCUGUACAAUUAGAUUUGUAAUUAGACUAUAAUUAAUACUUCUAAUUAGUAUUCAACAUCCGAUGUGACAUGUCCUAAAGUUUAGGAGGUGGUACCAGUGCGCUGACACAUCAACGGUAGGGUAUAUCAUCACUUGCCUCGAGCUUUAGCUUGAUCCAUAUCUUGUUGCUAUUAGGGGGUGUUUGAUACAAGGUGCUAAAGUUUAGAAGGGCCAUAUCGGAUGUUCAGAUGCUAAUUAGCAGGAUUAAACAUGAGCUAAUUACUAAACUAAUUGCACAGAUGGAGUUUAAUUCGCGAGAUGAAUCUAUUAAGGCUAAUUAAUCCAUCAUUAGCAAAUGGUUACUGCAACACCACAUUGUCAAAUCAUGAACUAAUUAGGCUUAAUAGAUUCGUCUCGCGAAUUAGACUCCACCUGUGCAAUUAGUUUUGUAAUUAGACUAUAUUUAAUACUUCUAGUUAGUAUCCAAACAUCUGAUGUGACAGGUGUUAAAGUUUAGCAGGGUAUCCAAACACCGCCUUAGUAGGUUGCAGUUAGCAUUGCUGACUUGCUGUCUUUGCUGAAGUGUCCAUUUGUGGCAAGUAGGUGCACUAAGUGCGUGAGGCUAGGGUCACAAGUGGUCACCAAAUCUGCACUUCUGAUUUUCUAGUCAAAAUAAUAAGGGGCACUUUUUAUGGACAAGUACCUCAAGUAGGUUUACAUGAUAGUCUUUGGAUCCCAGCCCAAAUUACAGGCAAAUAUUGUCUUGCAGUGUUUGAUUUAUAAAUAUGAAAAAAAAUCCAAAUUAUCAUAGGCUUUGUUCAUAAGCUUAGAGCUUGGAGCUUUGCCGUAGAAAAGCAGCAUGAAUAACCAUUUAGAUGGAAUGCACAAGAAAAACACAUGACUUUGCAGGGGGUCCCACGUGUAUCCUGCUCAAAGCCCCUCCAAUGCUCCAGCAUCUCGGUCACCAGAACAGAGCAGUCAAACUCGGAGACGAGGACCGGUCCACACAUUCAGCACCAUCCUUCGCGCCUUCCUUCCGGCCCCAUUAAGGCUCCUUUAGCACGGCUCAUCCAUUGGCUUCUCGAGUGAUUUUUGAUGAAACCAUGCCAAACAGGCACCGUCAAAACGGCUAGCAAGCAAAAGCCAGGCGGAAGCCCCGCAAAAUGCGCUGAGUGCGUUCCUCCCCGCGCGAGAAGCUAAAAAUAGUGGCUUAUCUUGGCUUCUCCCCGUCGGAACGAGACCAAUUCCAUCGCUAACCUCGGUGCUUACCUGGUGGCGGGGUGGAGCACCGGUCCAGCGGCGGACGGAGGAGGAGAGAGGAGGGGAAAAAGAAAAGAAGGGCCUGGCGGGGUGGCGGCGGAGUGGCGGAGGAGGAGGGCCAGGGUGGUUAGGUGGUGGCGGAGGAGGAGGUCCGGUGCGGCGCCAUCGCGGCGGAUGGGCAGAGGAGGAGGUCCGGUGUAGCGCCGUGUUGGCGGAGGGAGCCGGGGUCGGCGGGGUGGCGCUGGAGGGGUGGAGGAGGAGGGUUGGGUGGAUAAGGUCGGGAGGGAGGUGCCGAUCGGAUAAGGAGAGAAGGGAGGAAAAGAAAAGAAGGGAGAAGGAAAGAGAAAUAAAAAAGAAAGAAAAAGAAAAGAAAAAUGAGGAGAAAAAAAAGAAAAGAGAAAAAAUAUAAGAGUAUUUUGGACAUUUGACACCUUCUUUCCAAUCUAAAAAGCCAGGAGAAGCUGAGCUAGAGCAAAAAAAAAUCUGUUUCAUUCCAGAUGCGCUAGAGCCAGAGCUGUUUUUUCACGAGCCAAAGUCGUGCCAAACGGACCCUAAAUCGUCAGGCUCGCCUCAUGAAUCACCUUCUCUUCUUCUCCGUGUUCUUCCCAAACCGUCUCCUUGUCGACCUCCAGCAACCCCAAGCGUCUUCCCUUGUGUCGCGAAGAUGCACGCGUGUCCUGUUCCUGCCGCUGCCCUGCUGUGCCCAGUCGUGCUACUUCUAGCUCUGCUUCCCAGUCCCGCCACCACCGCUGCCGCCCUGAACACGUCCAACCCCUGCGCGCCGGCGUUGUGCGGCGGCAUCAACAUCGCCUUCCCGUUCUGGCUCGCCGGCAAGCAUCCGCCGGAGUGCGGCUACAAGGCCUACCAGGUCACCUGCGACAAAGGCAAUCUUACUCUCAAGAACUCUUACUGGACGUACCAACUCCUGGACAUCUUCUACCAAAACAGCUCCUUCAGAGCCGACCUGUCUGGAGGCCUCUGCGACUUCAAGAAUUUCGUCAACGCCGCCUCCGACCUCGGCCUCUCGCCGUUCAAGAUUAGCCCCAAGAACCAGGAGCUGUUCUUCCUCUACGACUGCGAACUGCGGGGAAGACACGCACCUCGUUCUUGGACGCUCGUGAACUGUUCGUCGCCGGAUGACCCACCGUGGGCGUUUGCCUUGCUUGGGAAGAAUUACACGCCAGGUGGCACUGGGAUGCCACCGCCGAUGAAUUGCAACGUGUCGACGACUCCGGUGCUGGGAUACGAGGGAGCGACGGGGGCAGACUAUCAACGGCUGCUGAAGGGUGGUUCUCUGCUCGAGUACACGGAUGAUGAGCCCUGCAAGGAUUGCACGGAUACCGGCGGCCGGUGCCGGGUUAAUGUAUCCGACGAUGCGUUCGCGUGCUACUGCAACGACGGUGACGACGGCUGGUUUAUUUGCGGUGAGUAUGUUUAUGCUUAUGAUUUAGAAUUCAUUCUGCUUCUUACUGUUUCCUUCAUCUUGCGUUGCCUCCAUAUUCGACUCGAACCAACGUGCUUAAGCCUAGUAUAUUAGCACAACACAUGUCACUUGCCCAUUAUACAAUGUCAAUGGAAUGCAUUGGAUGCAUACUAGUAGCCAUCAUUCUAUCGACAUGGUAAACUCCAUUUUCAUUCUUUCUUCUCUAUUAAUACAUACCAAGCAGAGUCCUGCUCCUGCAAGCUGUUUCGGAAAAAAGAAGAAUUGGUAACAUCCAAACUAGCAAAGGUGCUAACACUAAAAAAUGUUAAAGAAAUCUUGAGAGAGAGAGAGACGACGAUUAUGCAAAUGCAUCCGCUGUGCAUCCGCUGUAAAUUAACUCCGCCGGCCGCCAUCGCAGUCGAUCUUGACCUCUGGGCUCAUCGUGUCCUUGGAACACGGACACAGAUGUGGCGUACCUUAUUUUGUAACAUAACUUAAGUACUCUCGCCUCUCCUACCCCCACAUCGCAAACAUGUCAAUUACAUGGUCGUAAAUAAUGUAAGGUAACAUAAUACAAAAUAGAAUAAGAGAUUCUGAUGGUCAAGGUGUAGCCUUAAAUACCACAAUGAGGCAAACUGCGGCAUGCGUCAAGUGUAUCAUCCACUAUCAAUGCAUCUCCUUUGUCAAUUGUCGCUUCCAGCUCUAAUAAAAAGGAAGGGCAACAUUAUACACACAAGAAUGGCAGAUCAUAGAUGUCAACUCAGCGGUGUAGCAUAUUAUUUGAAUUUUAUUUGCAAAUUCGGAACUGUCAAAUAUGUCACUCAUUCCUUCCUUUAAGCAAAAGAAUCAAUAAGUGCUAUUUGAUGCUUUUCUAAGCUAAUGCUAUUUCAGGUAGCAAAAGGAUUGGCACGAAGAUAAUAAUAAUGAUAGGUAUGCUACACUUAACAUAAUUUCAUAUCAAGCAAUUCAAAUUUCAGUACUUAUAUACUGCAACAAGUUACUUUUUUAUUUUUAGUCUUCGGAAGACCAGAGAAGAGCUAUUAUAACAUUUAUCAUAUAUGAUCCUGCAUAGAUUCUAAAAUGAAAUUUUAGAACAAGUUAUCCACAAUCUGUGUCUUCUAUUAUAAAUUAGGCAACUUUGAGCAAGAUUCACUGUCCUUAAUUAUAUAGCUUCUUAAUAUUUUCCAGCUAUGCACUUCUUCUUUUAUUUUAUUUCUAUAAAAAGAGAUAACAACGGAUUUUAAUGAUCUUGGAAAUCCGAAUGAUAAUAAUAUAGCAGCUCACCGUUUCAAGAGAAAAAUAACAUCUGCUUUAAUUUCAGUUUGGAUGACAGUAGCUGCAAGCUUGCUCCUACCAUGUAUAUAUGUGCUUGUAUGGCAUAGAAAGAGAGGAAAGCUACAUUUUUUCUUAUGUGAAAAGACUAGCAGAAGCACUCAAAGGAACAUUGAGGCCCUAAUAGUUUUGCAUGGAUCCCUAGCUCCAAAAAGAUACAAGUAUUCAGAAGUAACAAAGAUAACGUCUUCCUUUAGUAAUAAGCUUGGGGAAGGUGGUUAUGGUGCAGUUUUCAAAGGAAGGCUAGAUGAUGGUCGUCAAGUUGCUGUGAAAUUCUUGCAUGAUUCCAAAGGAGAAGGGGAGGAGUUUGUUAACGAGGUUAUGAGCAUUGGUAGGACCUCUCAUGUUAAUAUUGUUAACUUAUUUGGGUUUUGUUUGGAAGGCUCAAAGCGGGCCAUAAUAUAUGAGUACAUGCCCAAUGGUUCUUUGGAUAAGUUCAUAUACUCAGAGAAUCCUAAAGCAGUUUUAGGAUGGGAUAAGCUCUACACAAUAGCGAUUGGAAUUGCUCGAGGAUUGGAAUACUUGCAUCACAGUUGUAAUACACGCAUUAUCCAUUUUGAUAUCAAGCCUCAAAAUAUCCUUCUAGAUGAGGAUUUUCACCCAAAGGUUGCUGAUUUUGGUUUGGCCAAAUUAUGUCAUACCAAGGAGAGCAAGCUUUCUAUGGCUGGUGCUAGAGGAACAGUUGGUUUCAUCGCUCCUGAAGUGCACUCUCGAACCUUUGGAGUUGUUUCAACUAAAUCAGAUGUUUAUAGUUAUGGAAUGAUGCUAUUAGAGAUGGUUGGAGGCAGAAAAAAUGUGAAUUCAAUUGCUCAAAAGUCAAGUGAAAAGUAUUUUCCACAUUGGAUUUAUGACCAUUUUGGUCGAGGUGAUGGAUUACAAGCAUGUGAUGUCUCAAGUGAAAAUGAAGGAAUAGCCAAAAAGAUGAGUGUGAUUGGCCUGUGGUGUAUCCAAAUACUACCAAUGCAUCGCCCUACCAUAACAAAGGUUUUGGAAAUGUUUGAGCGAGCUUUAGAUGAACUGGACAUGCCACCGAGGCAAAACUUCAGCCAAAUCCUGUAAGAUAUUUAUGAUACGUUUUGCUGCAGCUACCCUGCACCAUUUACCAAUUGAUGUAGCAACAAUUCUUUUAUUGUUUUGCAGCGAAGAUCCAAAUUACAAUUUGAAUGCACAAAGCUUGAGUACAAGCAGUGGUACCAAAACACAAGUUUUUAGCGAAGUGCUAAAGAUGAAGGAGAUGAGCUUAGAGAAUUCAAAACUCUUACAGCGGUUACCAACUCUGUGACAAGGUUACCUAGCAUUGGAAUUGAGCAUUGAACUUGUGCAUGUGUAUUGGAGGGGGUAGAAAUCUUAAGUUACUCAAAUACUUGUCUCAAAACAAAAUGCUAAAUGCCUACUAUAUUAUUUUGCAGUCAAAGCCAUUAAGGCCCCAAGAGGGAAAG
rnacentral:lncRNA from 1 species